rnacentral:lncRNA from 1 species
UUUAGAUCUCUUACCACGUGGCAAUACCUCCGUGACUCAAUUUAUUUAUUAACUAAUAAAUUAUUAAAAUACUAUUUUCAUAGUUUUGUUUCUCACAAAGCUCAAAUCAAAAGCCUCUUUUUCCCACAAGAACAUUCGAGAUUUGCAAGCUGUAACUCUGUAAAAAGGCAUCAAAUUUAGGGGUUUUGUUGAAUUUCUCAACAUUACGGUGGUCUCCUUGAUUGUCCAGUGAGAUCUUUGGUUAAGUAUGUUUAUUGCAUUUUUUUUUCUCCUUUUGAAUUGAUUUCUUUGUUUGAAUUUGGAUAAUUGUUUCAGAUUAAGGCUUUGUCUGAUUGCUGAGAAAAAAAGAAAAAAGAUUGAAUUUUGAAGAUUAUGUUUGUUAAUUUUUUAGCACGGCGUUAAAUCAAUUUUUCCCCAAGUUAAAGUAAGAUUUAAGUUGGAAUCUUAUUAUUUCUUCUUUCGUUGCGGGCAAACAUUAGUUUUCUUUCAUUUAGUAUAAAUUUGUCGAACUGCUUAAAUUUAAGGCUAAUUUCUCAAACUCGAUUUGUCCUUUUGGAUUAAGUGAACCCAGUUAUUAUUUUGUUUAGUUACUGAAUUUCAUAUUGUUUUU